rnacentral:rRNA from 1 species
UAGGGAAUCUUCGGCAAUGGACGAAAGUCUGACCGAGCAACGCCGCGUGAGUGAAGAAGGUUUUCGGAUCGUAAAACUCUGUUGUUAGAGAAGAACAAGGACGUUAGUAACUGAACGUCCCCUGACGGUAUCUAACCAGACAGCCACGGCUAACUACGUGCCAGCAGCCGCGGUAAUACGUAGGUGGCAAGCGUUGUCCGGAUUUAUUGGGCGUAAAGCGAGCGCAGGCGGUUUCUUAAGUCUGAUGUGAAAGCCCCCGGCUCAACCGGGGAGGGUCAUUGGGAACUGGGAGACUGGAGUGCAGAAGAGGGGAGUGGAAUUCCAAGUGUAGCGGUGAGAUGCGUAGAUAUAUGGAGGAACACCAGUGGCGAGGGCGGCUCGCUGGUCUGUAACUGACGCUGAGGCUCGAAAGCGUGGGGAGCAAACAGG